rnacentral:rRNA from 1 species
GAUGAACGCUGGCGGCGUGCCUAAUACAUGCAAGUCGAGCGAACAGAUGAGGAGCUUGCUCCUCUGACGUUAGCGGCGGACGGGUGAGUAACACGUGGAUAACCUACCUAUAUGACUGGGAUAACUUCGGGAAACCGGAGCUAAUACCGGAUAAUAUAUUGAACCGCAUGGUUCAAUAGUGAAAGACGGUUUUGCUGUCACUUAUAGAUGGAUCCGCGCCGCAUUAGCUAGUUGGUAAGGUAACGGCUUACCAAGGCGACGAUGCGUAGCCGACCUGAGAGGGUGAUCGGCCACACUGGAACUGAGACACGGUCCAGACUCCUACGGGAGGCAGCAGUAGGGAAUCUUCCGCAAUGGGCGAAAGCCUGACGGAGCAACGCCGCGUGAGUGAUGAAGGUCUUCGGAUCGUAAAACUCUGUUAUUAGGGAAGAACAAAUGUGUAAGUAACUAUGCACGUCUUGACGGUACCUAAUCAGAAAGCCACGGCUAACUACGUG